rnacentral:rRNA from 1 species
GUUUCCCAUGAUUGAGUUUAGUGAGGCAAGCGCCGCUAAAUGCAGUCGAGCGGACAGAAGGGAGCUUGCUCCCGGAUGUUAGCGGCGGACGGGUGAGUAACACGUGGGUAACCUGCCUGUAAGACUGGGAUAACUCCGGGAAACCGGAGCUAAUACCGGAUAGUUCCUUGAACCGCAUGGUUCAAGGAUGAAAGACGGUUUCGGCUGUCACUUACAGAUGGACCCGCGGCGCAUUAGCUAGUUGGUGGGGUAAUGGCUCACCAAGGCGACGAUGCGUAGCCAACCUGAGAGGGUGAUCGGCCACACUGGGACUGAGACACGGCCCAGACUCCUACGGGAGGCAGCAGUAGGGAAUCUUCCGCAAUGGACGAAAGUCUGACGGAGCAACGCCGCGUGAGUGAUGAAGGUUUUCGGAUCGUAAAGCUCUGUUGUUAGGGAAGAACAAGUGCGAGAGUAACUGCUCGCACCUUGACGGUACCUAACCAGAAAGCCACGGCUAACUACGUGCCAGCAGCCGCGGUAAUACGUAGGUGGCAAGCGUUGUCCGGAAUUAUUGGGCGUAAAGGGCUCGCAGGCGGUUUCUUAAGUCUGAUGUGAAAGCCCCCGGCUCAACCGGGGAGGGUCAUUGGAAACUGGGAAACUUGAGUGCAGAAGAGGAGAGUGGAAUUCCACGUGUAGCGGUGAAAUGCGUAGAGAUGUGGAGGAACACCAGUGGCGAAGGCGACUCUCUGGUCUGUAACUGACGCUGAGGAGCGAAAGCGUGGGGAGCGAACAGGAUUAGAUACCCUGGUAGUCCACGCCGUAAACGAUGAGUGCUAAGUGUUAGGGGGUUUCCGCCCCUUAGUGCUGCAGCUAACGCAUUAAGCACUCCGCCUGGGGAGUACGGUCGCAAGACUGAAACUCAAAGGAAUUGACGGGGGCCCGCACAAGCGGUGGAGCAUGUGGUUUAAUUCGAAGCAACGCGAAGAACCUUACCAGGUCUUGACAUCCUCUGACAACCCUAGAGAUAGGGCUUUCCCUUCGGGGACAGAGUGACAGGUGGUGCAUGGUUGUCGUCAGCUCGUGUCGUGAGAUGUUGGGUUAAGUCCCGCAACGAGCGCAACCCUUGAUCUUAGUUGCCAGCAUUCAGUUGGGCACUCUAAGGUGACUGCCGGUGACAAACCGGAGGAAGGUGGGGAUGACGUCAAAUCAUCAUGCCCCUUAUGACCUGGGCUACACACGUGCUACAAUGGACAGAACAAAGGGCUGCAAGACCGCAAGGUUUAGCCAAUCCCAUAAAUCUGUUCUCAGUUCGGAUCGCAGUCUGCAACUCGACUGCGUGAAGCGGAAUCGCUAGUAAUCGCGAUCAGCAGUUCCCCCUGACAAAAUAAACCGGCUUUCUU